rnacentral:lncRNA from 1 species
GCUGUAAGUUUUGACUGAAACCCUGUAUUACUCUGAUCUGAGAUUUUGGCUGAUUCUCAACUUCAGACUCACUGAAGUCAAACUAACCUUUUUUCUUUUGCAGGUCGGUGGAAGUAUUUUACCAGCAUCGGUUAUAUCUCUCUACUGCAUGUACCUCUGUUACAGCGGACUUGCAAGUGAGCCCCGUGAUUACGAGUGCAAUGGUCUUCACAAACACUCCAAAGCUGUUUCAACAGGCACAAUGACCAUUGGAUUACUCACAACUGUACUCUCUGUCGUUUAUUCCGCUGUUCGUGCUGGUUCUUCCACUACUCUUCUCUCCCCUCCUGAUUCUCCUCGCGCAGGUAUGUUUUUGACAAAAAAUCCUUCUCCUAUAUUUUGCUUCCCGCGAAUCAAAACUGAACUGAAACAUGUAUUUCAAAUCCCUAUAUUGAAACCUUGUUGUGCGGAGUGCUUGAGAGUUGCUUCUAAGCAUCAUAACGUACUUGCUUUCAAUG